rnacentral:tRNA from 1 species
GUCCUCGUAGCUUAAACAAAGCAUGACGCUGAAGAUGUCAAGAUGGCCCACCACAUACCCGAGGACA